GACUUCAAUACGUAUUAGGACCACUUAAGGUCUAUAUAAAAGAGACCGUCAGAUCCAGGUUAUUAGGGACACAAGGUCUAUAAAGAGACUUCCAGAUACAUUUUAGGGCCCACUAACGUCUAUAUAAAGAAACUCAUAUACAGUAUUAGGGGACCACUAAGGUCUAUAUAAAAGAGACUUGCAGAUACAGUAAGUAGGGA